rnacentral:tRNA from 1 species
AGAGAGGUGUCCGAGUGGUUGAAGGAGCACGACUGGAACUCGUGUAUAGUGUAACAGCUAUCGAGGGUUCGAAUCCCUUCCUCUCUGCCA